rnacentral:rRNA from 1 species
GGUUAAGCGACUAAGCGUACACGGUGGAUGCCUAGGCAGUCAGAGGCGAUGAAGGGCGUGCUAAUCUGCGAAAAGCGUCGGUAAGCUGAUAUGAAGCGUUAUAACCGACGAUACCCGAAUGGGGAAACCCAGUGCAAUACGUUGCACUAUCGUUAGAUGAAUACAUAGUCUAACGAGGCGAACCGGGGGAACUGAAACAUCUAAGUACCCCGAGGAAAAGAAAUCAACCGAGAUUCCCCCAGUAGCGGCGAGCGAACGGGGAGGAGCCCAGAGUCUGAAUCAGUUUGUGUGUUAGUGGAAGCGUCUGGAAAGUCGCACGGUACAGGGUGAUAGUCCCGUACACCAAAAUGCACAGGCUGUGAACUCGAUGAGUAGGGCGGGACACGUGACAUCCUGUCUGAAUAUGGGGGGACCAUCCUCCAAGGCUAAAUACUCCUGACUGACCGAUAGUGAACCAGUACCGUGAGGGAAGGCGAAAAGAACCCCGGCGAGGGGAGUGAAAUAGAACCUGAAACCGUGUACGUACAAGCAGUGGGAGCACCUUCGUGGUGUGACUGCGUACCUUUUGUAUAAUGGGUCAGCGACUUAUAUUUUGUAGCAAGGUUAACCGAAUAGGGGAGCCGUAGGGAAACCGAGUCUUAACUGGGCGUCUAGUUGCAAGGUAUAGACCCGAAACCCGGUGAUCUAGCCAUGGGCAGGUUGAAGGUUGGGUAACACUAACUGGAGGACCGAACCGACUAAUGUUGAAAAAUUAGCGGAUGACUUGUGGCUGGGGGUGAAAGGCCAAUCAAACCGGGAGAUAGCUGGUUCUCCCCGAAAGCUAUUUAGGUAGCGCCUCGUGAACUCAUCUUCGGGGGUAGAGCACUGUUUCGGCUAGGGGGCCAUCCGGCUUACCAAACCGAUGCAAACUCCGAAUACCGAAGAAUGUUAUCACGGGAGACACACGGCGGGUGCUAACGUCCGUCGUGAAGAGGGAAACAACCCAGACCGCCAGCUAAGGUCCCAAAGUCAUGGUUAAGUGGGAAACGAUGUGGGAAGGCACAGACAGCCAGGAUGUUGGCUUAGAAGCAGCCAUCAUUUAAAGAAAGCGUAAUAGCUCACUGGUCGAGUCGG